AUAACAAAAAAGGGGGAGAUGAAAGUAACCGUUACUGCUAAGUGCUCACUAGAUUUUCCUCCUCUAUUAUUGCUUUUCCAAAUAAAAGAAAUGAGUUUUACUCCAUGCUGUUGACGGAUAGGCUGGGCUUGCAAUUCCAUGCAUUAUUCUCGCAACUGCUCUUGGUGUAAAUCGAGCCUGUGAAUUGCUUUGCAGAAACACCUGGUGAUACCCAAAGGAAAAGGAGUACUGUUGGCUAAUUGGAGGUUUAAGGCAGGGGCAAGUAUCGGAAACAUCUGUGAUUUGUCCUUCGGACUACUAUCCAGAAUCUAAACUUGAGACCAGGGAAAGAGCUCAGAUAUCCAAGACCAUUUGUCCCCAUUUUUGGGAUUUUAACCUAAAUAAUAAUCUUUGGAGGAAAAAUCGAUUGGUUCUGAUGCAGCCAGACUUCAAAGGCUUGAAGCAUAAGACACAACGGAAAAGCAAGUUACCAUGCAACAACAGCACAUUGAGAUUUAGUGAACCAUUAUGCGUGUGUUUAGGUUUCAUGUUGUAAUCACGUUGAAACACUAACGUAAUUUUAGGCAAUUUUUCUUAUGUUUGGUUUUACGUUGAGAAAUAUUUCAAGUCCAAAAUUGAUUGAGUUCAAGUAUCUUUAGAUAGCUUUUGCCGUUGGAUAAAAAAUUUCACCCACAAGUUUUGCUACUAAUAUGAUUUUAUAGUAAAUGCAUUUAAAUAUAAAUCACAUCACUUCAAAAUCAAUUUCAUUCAAAAUCAAUUUGGUUAUCGCUCAUCCAAACACACUAAUAGUGAACUUCUAUUGUCAUAAACCAGUUCAUGCGGCUUACUGACAGGGAGUUAGGAACCAUGGUGCCGUCAUUGUACUUUUAAUGGAUAAAAAAAAAACAGUUCAUGAAAAUUAAUGCAGAAAACCAUA